AGUCGAACGCUUCAGCAAUGAAGAGUGGCAGACGGGUGAGUAACGCGUGGGAACCUUCCCAGUGGUACGGAAUAGCCCAGGGAAACUUGGGGUAAUACCGUAUAAGCCCUUAGGGGGAAAGAUUUAUCGCCAUUGGAUGGGCCCGCGUCGGAUUAGCUUGUUGGUGAGGUAAAAGCUCACCAAGGCGACGAUCCGUAGCUGGUCUGAGAGGAUGAUCAGCCACACUGGGACUGAGACACGGCCCAGACUCCUACGGGAGGCAGCAGUGGGGAAUAUUGGACAAUGGGCGCAAGCCUGAUCCAGCCAUGCCGCGUGAGUGACGAAGGCCUUAGGGUUGUAAAGCUCUUUUGGCGGGGACGAUAAUGACGGUACCCGCAGAAUAAGCUCCGGCUAACUUCGUGCCAGCAGCCGCGGUAAUACGAAGGGAGCUAGCGUUGUUCGGAAUUACUGGGCGUAAAGCGCACGUAGGCGGAUUUGUUAGUCAGGGGUGAAAUCCCGGGGCCCAACCUCGGAACUGCCUUUGAUACUGCAAGUCUGGAGUCCGGAAGAGGUGGGUGGAAUUCCUAGUGUAGAGGUGAAAUUCGUAGAUAUUAGGAAGAACACCGGUGGCGAAGGCGG
rnacentral:rRNA from 1 species